UCAAAUGAAGACCUCCUAACUUUGUUUGAUAGAAAUCCUAAAACUUUUUCAUAAUAAUCUCCCUAUAAGGAUCACCAAAGAGGUGGUCUUUUU
rnacentral:sRNA from 1 species